GCUCUGAUGGCCUGGUGGUUAGAGCGUCCACCUCAGAUGCGGAAGGUUGUGGGUUCGAACACCAGCCGAGUCAUACCA